AUAACUGUGGUAAUUCUAGAGCUAAUACAUGCAAUAAAGCUCCGACCUUUCGGGAAGAGCGCAUUUAUUAGACCAAAACCAAUCGGGCUUCGGCCUGAACGGUGGUGACUCUGAAUAACUGAGCUGAUCGCAUGGUCUUUGUACCGGCGACGCAUUUUUCAAGUGUCUGCCUUAUCAACUUUCGAUGGUAGUUUAUGUGCCUACCAUGGUUGUUACGGGUAACGGAGAAUAAGGGUUCGACUCCGGAGAGGGAGCCUGAGAAAACGGCUACCACAUCCAAGGAAGGCAGCAGGCGCGCAAAUUACCCAAUGUCGGCACGAGGAGGUAGUGACGAAAAAUAACCCCUUAAUGGCUAAGAGGCCCGCUAUCGGAAU
rnacentral:rRNA from 1 species